rnacentral:rRNA from 1 species
CUAAAUUGGCCAUGAUGUCACUCUUGAUUUUCUCGAUUUUGUUCAGCAUUGCAUUCUGAAUUGAGGUACACUAGUUAGAAUCUUUCACAAUUGUUUGAAUGAAAGGGUUAAGGUUUUCCAACUCUCCCAGGAUUUUAAACAAUUCCCUAGAUUUAGAUGUUGCCUUUUUAAUUCUUUUGUUUUAGGAUGAUUUUUUAGCUAUGCAGAUGGUUUUGCAUGCAUUCAUCAGACCAAGACCAAUCCAGGGUUGCCCGGCUGCUUUGGUGACUUUAGAUAACUUUGUGCUGAUUGCAUGUCCCCAUGAAGGUGACAAUACAUUCUGAUUUCUUCCCUGUCAACUUUUGAUGGUACUUUCUGUGCCUACCAUGGUGACCAUAAGCAAUGGGAAUCAGGGUUUGAUUCCGAAGAGGGGAGCCUAAGAAAGAUCUACCAAAUCCAAGGAAGGCAGCAGGGGUGCAAAUUACCCCUUCUUGACUCGGGGAGGCAGUGACGGAAAAUAACAAUGCAAUGUUAAUUGGAAUGAGUACACUUUAAAUCCUUUAACGAGGAUCCAUUGGGAGGCAAGUUGGAGCCAUUAGCUCCAAUAGCAUAUAUUAAAGUUGCUGCAGUUAAAAAUCUUGUAGUUGGAUUUCGGGAUGGACCUGAUGGUCUGUCGCAUGUUUCCACCUGUCCCAGCCCCUGCCUAUUGGCACCCCCUUGAUGCUCUUGACUGAGUCACCAGGAGUCUAUAGCAUUUACUUUGAAAAAAUUAGGGUGUUCAAAGCAGGCGGUCACCUGAGUUUUUCAGUUAGAAUAAUGUAAUAGGACUCUGGUUCGAUUUUGUUGGUUUUCAGAACUGGUGCUAUGAUUAAGAGGGAUGGCCGGGGGCCAUUCAUUGACUACUGGAAGCAAAAUCAUUUGCCAGGAAUGUUUUCAUUCAUUCAAGAACAAAAGUCUGAGGUUCGAAGACAAUCCAAUACUGUUGUAGUUACGACCAUAGCCGAUGCUGACUAGCAAUCCGUCAGCAUUAUUCCCAUGACUCGCCGAGCAGCUUCCGGGAAGCCAAAGUCUUUGGGUUCUGGGGUGAGUAUGGUUACAAAGCUGAAACUUAAAGGAAUUGAUGGAAGGGCACCAUCAGGAGUAGAGCCUGUGGCUUAAUUCGCCUCAACAGAGGAAACCUAACCCGGAUACGGAAAGGAUUUGCAGAUUGAUAGCUCUUUCUCGAUUCUGUGGUUGGUGGUGUCUGGCCGUUCUUAGUUGUUGGAGCGAUUUAUUUUGAUUAAUUCUGAUAACGAACAAGACUCCUUCAUGCUAACUAAUUACACGUCCCCCAGUUGUCAACGUUCAACUUCUUAGAGAGAUAAGUGUCAUUGAGCCACACAAGAUUGAGCAAUAAUAGGUCUGUGAUGCCCUUGGAUGUCUGGGGCUGCACAUGCGCUAAACUGAACUGAUCAGAGUGUGUCUACCCUUUGCCGUGUGGAUCACCCGCUGAGCCCCAUUUGUGAUAGGGAUUGGGGAUUGCAAUUAUUUCCCAUGAAUAAGGAAUUCCCAGUAAAUGUGGAUCAUAAGCUUGCAUUGAUUAAGUGCAUGCCCUUUGUACACACCGCCUGUCGCUACUACCGAUUGGAUGGUUUGGUGAGGUUCUCGUAUUGGUCCCAUCUGCAACGGCCCUGCCUGGUGGAGCACCGAGAAGACAUUAAAAGUUGACUAUCUAGAGGAAGUAAAAGUCGUAACAAGGUUUCCGUAGGUGAACCUGCGGAAG